ACUCAGGCGAUCCAUCAAUACCUUUCCCUGAAGACCUGCGGGGCAGGGCCACAUUUUCGGAGGAAACCUUCACACUCACAAUUUCCCGUCUCACCCCAGAGGACAACCGGACGUACUGGUGUGUGGUUCUGGAGGAAAUAACGUUUCUGGAAGAAUACAACCCUGCUAUCGAUGACGAGGAAGACAGUGAGGGUGAAGGUGACACUGACAGCAAAGCUGUUGGUGAAAAUGAGGACUAUAACGCGUGGGAGGACGAAGACAAAUGCCUCUCAAGGGGCGGGCAGCUGUCUGAGAAAAGAAGACAUAGACAGCUCUCCAUCUGAUGGGGUGGGGAGACCAGGCUGUGCCAGAUGGUCGCUAGUUCCUGCUGCAGCAUUAGCAUGUCAAGCACAGCACCCUGAACGUUCCACUGCUCUAUGAGCCUCCAGGCCAGACCAUGCAUGAGACUGCCCAUCGGUGGCAUGGUGGGACUGACUUAAUUAGUAACACAUUUCGCUGUUCAACUUCACUAGUUGCUUGAGCUUAUUUCGAAAAUGUCUUUCACAUGUCAAACCGCUAUUGUAUACUCUUUACAUUAUAAGGACAAGCACUUGCAUGAGCACAGGAAGUCCCAAAAGGAACAAAUGUUUAUUGGUGUGGUAAUGGUGUGGUAGAAAUGGUGGUUUAUGUGUGUUUGGUAGAAGUCCUCACGCUCUGAUCCCAUCCCAUCUGGAGCCGAGGUUUCUGUUUGGGCUUGAGAAAUCAUUUGCUCUGCCAGCAGGAUUUUGAAACCCAGGAAAUGAAGUGUGUGUUUCAGAAAGUCUUCCCAGGAGCUGGACGUGUUUCUGGUGCUGAAUGAAUUGGUGAUGAUGAGAUCAAACAAGGUUCACAGUUGUGCACACUGCCCACUUCCCUGUUUUGUUUCCAAUCCUGCUGAAGCUUAGCGUCCUGUCUGCUCCCCGUGUUUGUCCGUGUUUGUCCUGCACUCUCAGCAGCUGUUCUGAAUGCUUGGACAUUUAUCCUAUCGUUUUGGGGCAAUCUCAUGCAUGUGUUCUAGCCCCACAGGCUGUGGUAGCCGUAAGCGAUAGUACAUCCGGAAGCCAUUAGGCCUUUUGCCAUAAUGUAAUUCUUUCUCAGCAUUUCAAUUGUAGCUAGACUCCAAUGCAUCCAGCAGUUGCAUAGAUGUAAAACACUUGUCAAUGAACAGAUGGGUGUUCCUGGAAAUAAUCUCAGCCACCAAUGGAUCUUGCUUUUUUAACUCUCAUUAUAGAUGUAAUUUCCUGCGUAAACAUUAAAAUCCCAAACCAUUUGGAUUAGCAAGGACUAAACAGUUUCAGCACACACACACACACACACACACACACACACACACACACACACACACACACACACACACACACACACACACACACACACACACACACACACACACACACACACA
rnacentral:lncRNA from 1 species